rnacentral:tRNA from 1 species
AAGGGAGACCUAAUUCGGGUAUAAGACGAAAAAAGGGUAGUCGAAACCAAGAAUCAAUCCCAAAAGGUCGGAACGAGGUAUGUGGCUUUCAAACUAGGUUCUGGGUUCACACAAGACCUGAAUCAGGAACAAGGGCUAUUAGCUCAGGUGGUUAGAGCGCACCCCUGAUAAGGGUGAGGUCCCUGGUUCGAGUCCAGGAUGGCCCACCUGCACAGGUGGCAAAAACAAAGAAGCGAGGAAUCAGCACCUUAUCUUAUCUAUAUAUAAGAGAGAAUGCUGGCUCUGAGUAAAGAGUCCAGAGGAACCUUGAAAACUGCAUAGAGCUAGGUGAAAAAGCCAAAAAAGAAGACCGCAA